GGAGGGUGCAAGCGUUGUUCGGAAUUACUGGGCUUAAAGCGCGUGCAGGCGGAAUGUCAGGUGUCUUGUGAAAGCCCCGGGCUCAACCCGGGAACUGCUGGGCAAACCGACGUUCUUGAGGCAAGUAGAGGUGACUGGAACAACUGGUGGAGCGGUGAAAUGCGUAGAUAUCAGUUGGAACGCCGGAGGCGAAAGCGGGUCACUGGGCUUGUUCUGACGCUCAGACGCGAAAGCGUGGGUAGCAAACAGGAUUAGAUACCCUGGUAGUCCACGCCGUAAACGAUGCGCACUAGGUAUGAGAGGUUUUGACGCCGAUCGUGCCGAAGCAAAAGUGGUAAGUGCGCCGCCUGGGGGAGUACGGCCGCAAGGCUA
rnacentral:rRNA from 1 species